AUCUAAAUAAUAAAUAGUUAUUAGACAACAAAAAAAUGUUGCAGAUAUUUCAAAUAAAUUUUUAUUUAGGGGUGAAACGCUUUCAAUUCUUAGGAUAACUGGAUUUAAUUUAAAUGCAUUAAGUGCAGGAUUUGUUCUGACUUUCAAAGUGUUAAGAAUUUGAAAGAAGAGUUUAAGUUAAUUUUUUUUACUAUAAUAAGAAAUAACUUUCUUAAUUAUUGGAAAAUGAUAAUUUUUAUUUUAUAAUUUAAAAAACAUAAAUUAAAAUUUUAUAAAACUUAUAAUUAAUAUUUAUAAUGUUUAAAUAAGUAUUGGAAGAAAAAUCCUUUUAAGGAACUCGGCAAAAAAAUUUUCGACUGUUUAACAAAAACAUAGCUUUAUGAAAUAAGAAUAUAUAAAGUUCCUCCUGCCCAGUGAAAUUUAAACGGCCGCAGUACCUUGACUGUGCUAAGGUAGCAUAAUAAAUUGUCUUUUAAUUGAAGUCUUGAAUCAACGGAUAAACGGAAAGAAGCUGUCUUAAAAGGAUUUACAAAAAAUUAAUUAAAAGGUGAAAAUGCCUUUAUUUUUUUAUAGACAAGAAGACCCUUAGAAUUUUUUCUUUAAAAAGAAACUAUAUAUAAAUUACUAUAUUUUAUAGACGUGCUUUUUUCCUAUUUUGUUGGGGCGACAAGGUAACAGUUAUAACUUACCUUAAUUAUUAUAUACAUAUCAGAUUAUAUAAACCUAGAAUAAAUUACCUAAGGGAUAACAGCAUAAUUAUAAAAUUUGUUUGUGACCUCGAUGUUGGAUUAGGAUAUAAUAAAACUAGCCGUUUUAUUAUAAGGUUCUGUUCGAACUGUUUCUCCUACAUGAUCUGAGU
rnacentral:rRNA from 1 species